GGCUCAUUAAAUCAGUUAUCGUUUAUUUGAUAGUACCUUACUACUUGGAUACCUGUGGUAAUUCUAGAGCUAAUACAUGCUAAAAACCCCGACUUCGGAAGGGGUGUAUUUAUUAGAUAAAAAACCAAUGCCCUUCGGGGCUCCUUGGUGAUUCAUAAUAACUUCUCAGAUCGCAUGGCCUUGCGCCGGCGACGGUUCAUUCAAAUUUCUGCCCUAUCAACUUUCGAUGGUAAGGUAUUGGCUUACCAUGGUUUCUACGGGUAACGGGGAAUUAGGGUUCGAUUCCGGAGAGUUAGCCUGAGAAACGGCUAACACAUCCAAGGAAGGCAGCAGGCGCGCAAAUUACCCAAUCCUGAUACAGGGAGGUAGUGACAAUAAAUACUGAUACAGGGCUCUUUUGGGUCUUGUAAUUGGAAUGAGUACAAUUUAAACCUCUUAACGAGGAACAAUUGGAGGGCAAGUCUGGUGCCAGCAGCCGCGGUAAUUCCAGCUCCAAUAGCGUAUAUUAAAGUUGUUGCAGUUAAAAAGCUCGUAGUUGAACCUUUGGCCUGGCUGGCAGGUCCGCCUCACCGCGUGCACUUGUCCGGCCGGGCCUUUUCUUCUGGAGAACCGCAUGCCCUUCACUGGGUGUGUUGGGGACCAGGACUUUUACUUUGAAAAAAUUAGAGUGUUCAAAGCAGGCCUUUGCUCGAAUAUUACAGCAUGGAAUAAUAAAAUAGGACGUGCGGUUCUAUUUUGUUGGUUUCUAGGACCGCCGUAAUGAUUAAUAGGGACAGUCGGGGGCAUCAGUAUUCAAUUGUCAGAGGUGAAAUUCUUGGAUUUAUUGAAGACUAACUACUGCGAAAGCAUUUGCCAAGGAUGUUUUCAUUAAUCAGUGAACGAAAGUUAGGGGAUCGAA
rnacentral:rRNA from 1 species